AUUUGAUGAUGCGGACAUUGUAUCUGCAACUCCCCAAAUCUUUCCCAAGCUUCGAAGAACUCUUCCGUAUGUUUUUGUUUAAAAGUCUGGAUCAUGUUUCUCAACUC
rnacentral:snoRNA from 1 species